GCUGUUUUUUUUUUUAACAACCGAACCACGCACUAAAUGAUGAUCCCAUAUUCACACUGUGUGAGGCCCAGUUUAGUUACUGGGCUUAUGAUCACAACAACCAAAAUACUGAUUUAAUGACUCUGAAAGUGCACGUAGCCCUGUAGAC